UGAGCAAUCUGCCCUUCUCUUUGGAAUAAGCGUUGGAAACGACGUCUAAUGCCGAAUACGACCUCCUUUCGCAUGAUCGGAGGUGGAAAGCUCCGGCGGAGAAGGAUGAGCUCGCGGCCUAUCAGCUAGUUGGUGUGGGUAAUGGCCCACCAAGGCGACGACGGGUAGCCGGCCUGAGAGGGUGACCGGCCACACUGGGACUGAGACACGGCCCAGACCUCCGUACGGGAGGNAGCG
rnacentral:rRNA from 1 species